UAGCUACUAAAAGAAAUGGGCUAGAAUAUAUAUAUAUAUAUUUCAACUUAGAGCUCAAAAACAAUGAUGUUUAGAAAAAUGCAGACGGGCACUAGCAGUGUGACACUAUUAUAUAUGCUUUACAAUAAACACAUGAAACAAUAGUAUAAUUUGUUUAUGAAAACAUAUGUGUUCGUAUAAAUGUAUAAAUAGUGGAUUGGAAUCCAGACCUUUGAUGGUGCUCACCAGAAUGGGAGUGAGAGCAGAUGGAUUAGGGUUGAAACAUUACAGAGAUUCCAACUUUAUAAUGCUUUUUAAAAAUUAUUCUUCAUCUUGAAACAAAUACGACAAAAUGUUGACAAUUUUAAUUUCUGGGGGGUGGGUCCAUGAAUAUUUGUUAGAUUGUUCUCUUUAAAUUUUGAUAAUUUUUUUUCAAACUAAAAGUCUGAUAAGAGUGAUUUAUCCAUUGUGUACCAAGAACUUCUGCUUUCUGAAUGGCUUCUGUAACCAGCUCCAAUCAGAAUAAGCUUGUUUCCAGAACACAGAAAGGCCCUUAUGGAUGGUUUUAAGUCUACUGAUCUGUCUGAGGAUUGAUUCCUGGCUGUCGCCUUGCUCUCCACACAUAAAAAGUAAAAUGUUGACCAGUUUCCUGUAUAUGGAAAAUACAUGUGCAUGUGAAAAUUCUGAACGGUGCUGCCAAAUACAAGUAUAUGAAACAAUGAAUUACUCAAACCAUUUUAAUACAAUUUUUACCUUAUUCCAUACGUAUUUAUUGUGUACACUACAUGUGUGGUGUGGUAUUGCUUAGACCUGUGCAAACUAUCAACAGCUGUUCAUUCAGUGGCAGAGACGAUGCCAUCUUGCAUUGGAUUAGAAAGAAUAAAUGACUAUGAUCUUUC
rnacentral:lncRNA from 1 species